rnacentral:rRNA from 1 species
UAGAGUUUGAUCAUGGCUCAGAUUGAACGCUGGCGGCAGGCCUAACACAUGCAAGUCGAGCGGUAGAGAGAAGCUUGCUUCUCUUGAGAGCGGCGGACGGGUGAGUAAUACCUAGGAAUCUGCCUGGUAGUGGGGGAUAACGUUCGGAAACGGACGCUAAUACCGCAUACGUCCUACGGGAGAAAGCAGGGGACCUUCGGGCCUUGCGCUAUCAGAUGAGCCUAGGUCGGAUUAGCUAGUUGGUGAGGUAAUGGCUCACCAAGGCUACGAUCCGUAACCGGUCUGAGAGGAUGAUCAGUCACACUGGAACUGAGACACGGUCCAGACUCCUACGGGAGGCAGCAGUGGGGAAUAUUGGACAAUGGGCGAAAGCCUGAUCCAGCCAUGCCGCGUGUGUGAAGAAGGUCUUCGGAUUGUAAAGCACUUUAAGUUGGGAGGAAGGACAGUAAAUUAAUACUUUGCUGUUUUGACGUUACCGACAGAAUAAGCACCGGCUAACUCUGUGCCAGCAGCCGCGGUAUACA